rnacentral:rRNA from 1 species
CGAGGAAUAUUGGUCAAUGGGCGCAAGCCUGAACCAGCCAUCCCGCGUGAAGGAAGAAGGCCCUACGGGUUGUAAACUUCUUUUCUGUUUGAAGAAUAAGCUCGUCGAGACGAGUGAUGCCGGUAGGACAGGAAUAAGCAUCGGCUAACUCCGUGCCAGCAGCCGCGGUAAUACGGAGGAUGCAAUCGUUCUCCGGAUUUAUUGGGUUUAAAGGGUGCGCAGGUGGUUUAAUAAGUCAGUGGUGAAAGUCUGGCGCUUAACGUUAGGAUUGCCAGUGAUACUGUUAGACGUGAAGAUGGAGGAGGUAGGAGGAAUGUGUAGUGAAGCGGUGAAAUGCUUAGAUAUUACACAGAACACCGAUUGCGAAGGCAGCUUACUAAGCCAUCAUUGACGCUGAGGCACGAAAG